CUGAACAUGGUUUCAGUGUUUGCCGCCUCGUACGUCAGCUAGGUUUGAGUUUGCUUAACAUAAACUUCUUUAGCACUAAUUCUUGCUCAGAAAAGUAUUUCAAAAUAGUUUCUGGCAGAUUUAAGUUUCCUGUACCUCUUUUUUUGCACUAAACUCAUUUCUGUGCAAUGAAACAGGAACGAAUGAGCGCAAUUUGAAAUGAACGAAGUAAAUUUGAACUGCUUCAGGUGGGAUUCUGGUGCCGAGGCAAGUAAAACGAGAUGCUGCCUGACCCGCUGAGUAUUUCCAAAUAGUACUGUGUGUUGUAAUGUAAGUGAGAAAACGACCCACGCCUUUGCUUGUACUGCACGGGUAGAUUUACAAACCAACUUUCGUGUUACAUUGAAGCGAUUUCUCUUUUAAUGCAAAGGUUCUGGAAUUGCCUUGCUUGGUGCUAAACAAUCAAGAUGCUUUGAUCACAGCGGAGCUGGGACAUUGGAAACAUUCUUAACUGAAGGAGUUCGUUUUAAUUUUGACCCACUUUCGUCAUUCUGUUCGACGUUCCUGUCUCUGUACUCAGCAAUAUUACUUAUGAGUGAAUAUUCAAUUACACUCGAACAUUUAGUAUAAAACGUAUUUGCUUGCAUUAACUCUGUAAAAUUCAGUUUGGAAAUCCGUACACGGUGUAAGCGGUGAUAUCCCCACCGAACGGAAUUGCUUUUACUUGUGUGUGAAGGCCUGCAAUCGACAUUUGAUAACUGCAGCAGAAAUUAGGCAAAAUGGGAGGAUGCUGCUUUGUCAUCACCCAGAACCAAUGCAAAAUGUAUACAUUGUCUAUUGGUAAAAAUUGCGGAAAAUAAAUGUGGAAAAAUGAAAAUAUUGCAGAAAAGUGAAUAAUGUCCAUCUGUGGUAAAGUUGACCAUCAGUGCACCAAACUCUAUGUAUUAAAAUUGUCUGCAAGUAAAUUGCUCGCCCCCUUAUUGUAUCGUGAAUAUGCAAAUUUAUCGCUCGUAGUCUAGCGUGACAUUGUUCCGAAAGGGUGUGUUCUUUAAGCGCCUCGGUUAUCUGUUUAAAUCAUAAUAUUUUUCGUAGAGGUCGGUGUGGCUCAUAGCCAAACCCGUCCCAGCAAACCGGAUCCGUCCACAAUCCCAGCGCAAGAUUCUCUGCUCGGCCAAACGCGAACCCCUUUGGUGUAACGAGAUCAACAUUGGGACUACAAUAAUUUCCGUUGCAAGUUGGCCGCGAGGAAAGUGUGAGGGAAUGGAAAGUGAUUUCCCACAGACCACAGCGCUGGUGUAAAGGUGCUGGUCUGAAUUUAAAGAAAGGGACUUUGAUUCCUUUUAUUUCAGGAGAGUUCUGAAAACUGCUUUAUAGAAAGGGGAGUGAGUCGAUUUUGUAACUUUCCCCUAUAAAGUCCCAGCAAAUGACAAUGAUCAGAAGAAAUAAACCACUGGCUUCUGCGAAUUAUAUGAUCGGCGGGUCAGACCUGGUCAUUUGUUUGGAAAGGUUGAAAUCAGUCGAAGCUUCUGUAAAGAGAGGCUAAUGUAAAUACUAUAAAUAAAAAGUCUUCAUCUAUUUCAUGAUGACUUCAGCAGUGGAUGCUUGUAUCUAUUAAAAUGGACAUUAACCGUGCAAAGCACAAUCUGGACGUACGUUUAUUUUGAAAAAAAGCAAUACGUGAAAAGUUGUCAGUGAAGAAUUUCAUCGGUCCCUUUCCGAGUUGUAAGGGCCGGGACAAUAUUUUGUGAUGGUUAUCAAACCGGGAUUUCGGAAUCAAACAAAAUGAGAACGUGGA